GCUGGCGGCGUGCUUAACACAUGCAAGUCGAACGGAAAGGCCCUGCUUUUGUGGGGUGCUCGAGUGGCGAACGGGUGAGUAACACGUGAGUAACCUGCCCUUGACUUUGGGAUGACUUCAGGAAACUGGGGCUAAUACCGGAUAGGAGCUCCUGCUGCAUGGUGGGGGUUGGAAAGUUUCGGCGGUUGGGGAUGGACUCGCGGCUUAUCAGCUUGUUGGUGGGGUAGUGGCUUACCAAGGCUUUGACGGGUAGCCGGCCUGAGAGGGUGACCGGCCACAUUGGGACUGAGAUACGGCCCAGACUCCUACGGGAGGCAGCAGUGGGGAAUAUUGCACAAUGGGCGGAAGCCUGAUGCAGCAACGCCGCGUGCGGGAUGACGGCCUUCGGGUUGUAAACCGCUUUCGCCUGUGACGAAGCGUGAGUGACGGUAAUGGGUAAAGAAGCACCGGCUAACUACGUG
rnacentral:rRNA from 1 species